AGUAUAAACAUUUGUAUUCUUUUUUUUAAAGUUUUGUUAGUUAAGCACUAAAUAUAACUCACAGAUGAUGAAUCAUUAUAUUCUGUAUAAACUAAAAAGGAGAUAGCUCAAAGUAGAUUUGAGUAAAUAAACAUCUACACAUUUAAAAACAUUUUAGCCAUUAAUUAUAAAAAAAAAUAAAAUAUACUGUCACAUAACUUCUGUCAACUUUCAUGUAACACUCCAGUCCAGUUGAUGGCAGUAAUGCGCUUUCAUAGUCGGUCAAGCAGCCGCCAUUAAAUUCCAGACGAAGAUUUGCACCGUCGCUAACGGGUGCUACUGCUAAACCCAACAUGAAUGAAAAUACCCGUCCGUUGUGUGAAAUGGUGGAAAAAGUACUAUUUCACAGAGUUACUUUUUCAUUAUCGUUUUGAUAUUAAGCAAAGUCCCGGCGGAAAACAACAGAUGACACCGCGGCGGUCCAACAAGACUCAACUUACGGUAAGAAAGCUUUUAUGAAUAGCGAGCACGUGCAGCGGGGCGAGUUGCUUUGUUUGUUUCUUACAGAAAGUGGUCUGUCGUUUUCAUAAUGUCAAAACAAGUGUAGGGUGAGAUUUUGUAUUGUAUUUUUUAUUACAUGUGAUGUUCUGAACUCUUAAAAAUACUCGCAUCUUCUUUUUUUUUCAGAUCUGAAAAAUGGCCAAGUCUCAACAGCCAGGCCUCAGACCACGGUACCGAGGCGCUCUUACGGAGUCCACCAGGACAAAGUGAAAUUCAUACAGCAAGGCAGAGUGUGGUAAGCAGUAGAGAUCGACAACAUGGCGGACGGAGGAUGGAUAUAAGGACGGAGCCAUGUAGCCGACACCACAGAAUGGGAGUCACAUUUGUGCCACUCAGACUCUUCAGGAACGUUCUGAUGUCCGUGAUAAGGACAGAGAUGCAACUGUGUCUGCAUCCAGGACCUACUGCCAGUCAUCCAGAUGUAGCUCAAGAAAGAAGCAGGUAAGAUCUAGAGAUGUCACGAUUCCCUGAAUGAUUAAAGUACUGUGGUUUAUUAAAAUCCAUCAAGGCAAAUGAUCUGCCUCAAAGUUUGUUGAAUUAUGUUUUACUAUUUAUUACCAACUGCUUUUAA